UUUUUCACUUGUCAUUUGCCAGUUUUGAUUUCUGCUUCCUCAGUGCCAUUGGUAGGCAUGCGAAAUUGCAUUCGUUAGAUUUACAUCCGAAUCUAUCAGUGUUGAACAAUGAUGAGGACCUAGUUUCAAACCGCAGAACGGACAACCAGAAUGUUAUUUUUUCUCCUUUUCCGGAACUUGGCAGGGCUGUUUGUUCAGUGUUUUCCAGAAGCUUCUCGACGCAGCUUGCACUUCGAGACUAAAUUCCAGCUACGGGAAAAUAAUGCUACGAGCGGUAUCAUUGGAGAUGGAGCUAGUCAUGGAAUCGCCUGGAUAUUGAGCAUGCAUGUAUUUACAAGCAACAUAUGCAAUGCUGAUACAAUCUCGGACUGAAUAAAAAUUAUCCAUUAAAGAAACUGUUUUUUUUUCUUUUAUUACGAAAGGAAUUCAACAGAAAAGAGAAAAUGAUUUAAUCACAACAAUAUAGGUUGCAGUGAUUCUCAUUUUCCUUUUGUACGAUCCAAUUAUAACUGAACUAUGCGAUAUAAUGUUUCGCGUGACAAAAAUGGAUUAUUAUCCAAC